AUAUCAGUCAUGCAUAGCAUAUCAAUAAGCGGAGGAAAAGAAACUAACAAGGAUUCCCUUAGUAACGGCGAGUGAAGCGGGAAGAGCUCAAAUUUGAAAUCUUCAAGGUUUUACCUUGACGAAUUGUAGUUUAAAGAAGUGUUUUCUGUUGAAGUUUUGGUAAAAGUUCUUUGGAAUAGGACAUCAUAGAGGGUGAGAAUCCCGUAUUUGACCAUUACUUUCAGCUUUGUGAUACACUUUCAAAGAGUCGGAUUGUUUGGGAAUGCAGUCCAAAAUGGGUGGUAAAUUUCAUCUAAAGCUAAAUAUUGGCGAGAGACCGAUAGCGAACAAGUACCGUGAGGGAAAGAUGAAAAGAACUUUGAAAAGAGAGUUAAACAGUACGUGAAAUUGUCAAAAGGGAAGCGUUUGACACCAGUGUUGUUUCUCGAAAAUCAAUUAAAAAGAGUUGGAUUUUGUGUUGUAUUGACUUUAUCAGCUUUCUUCACUCUUUUCCAGCUUUUUUUAAUGCACUUUUCGUUUAACAAGUCAACAUCAGUUUCUUUUGUUGUAAAAAGGUCAUUGGAAGGUGGCUUUCUCUUCGGAGAAAGUGUUUAUAGCCUUUGACUCAUGCAAUCGGAGAGACUGAGGUCUGCAGCGUAGAUCCUUCGGGGUUAGAUACAUUUGUGCUAAGUUAUAGCUUUUCAUAGACAACUUGUUGACUAUGUUUAGUCUUGUAGCUUACUCGCUUAUGCUAUUUUACCUACGCUUAGGAUGUUGAACUCUAUCACACACAG
rnacentral:rRNA from 1 species